rnacentral:misc_RNA from 1 species
GAUGAAGAACGUAGCGAAAUGCGAUAAGUAAUGUUAAUUGCAGAAUUCAGUGAAUCAUCGAAUCUUUGAACGCACCUUGCGCCUUUUGGUAUUCCGAAAGGCACACCUGUUUGAGCGUCAUGAAUACCUCAAUCUCCAUCUUUUCUUCGGAUUGAUGGGUGACUUGGAUGUUGAGCCCUGCUGGUAUGCUAUAUCAGCUGGCUUUAAACUUAUUAGCCGGCUCUGUACUGGAUCGGUUUGACUCGACGUGAUAAUAUUAUCGUUGAGGAUGCAUGUCUCAUGCAGCCGGAAAGUAUCAAAGCAGCUUCUAGCUUGCCUUUAGUGCACUUUUACAUUUUAGACCUCAGAUCAGGUGGGACUACCCGCUGAACUUAAGCAUAUCAUAAGCGGAGGA